rnacentral:rRNA from 1 species
CCAGCGAACUUGGCAGAGAUGCCUUGGUGCCUUCGGGAACGCUGAGACAGGUGCUGCAUGGCUGUCGUCAGCUCGUGUUGUGAAAUGUUGGGUUAAGUCCCGCAACGAGCGCAACCCUUAUCCUUUGUUGCCAGCGAUUCGGUCGGGAACUCAAAGGAGACUGCCGGUGAUAAACCGGAGGAAGGUGGGGAUGACGUCAAGUCAUCAUGGCCCUUACGAGUAGGGCUACACACGUGCUACAAUGGCGCAUACAAAGAGAAGCGACCUCGCGAGAGCAAGCGGACCUCAUAAAGUGCGUCGUAGUCCGGAUCGGAGUCUGCAACUCGACUCCGUGAAGUCGGAAUCGCUAGUAAUCGUGGAUCAGAAUGCCACGGUGAAUACGUUCCCGGGCCUUGUACACACCGCCCGUCACACCAUGGGAGUGAGUUGCAAAAGAAGUAGGUAGCUUAACCUUCGGGAGGGCGCUUACCACUUUGUGAUUCAUGACUGGGGUGAAGUCGUAACAAGGUAAGCGUAGCGAG